GCAUGUCUAAGUAUAAGCAAUUAUACCGUGAAACUGCGAAUGGCUCAUUAAAUCAGUUAUCGUUUAUUUGAUAGUACCUUACUACAUGGAUAACCGUGGUAAUUCUAGAGCUAAUACAUGCUAAAAACCCCGACUUCGGGAGGGGUGUAUUUAUUAGAUAAAAAACCAAUGCCCUUCGGGGCUCCUUGGUGAAUCAUAAUAACUUAACGGAUCGCAUGGCCUUGCGCCGGCGACGGUUCAUUCAAAUUUCUGCCCUAUCAACUUUCGAUUGUAGGGUAUUGGCCUACAAUGGUAUCAACGGGUAACGGGGAAUUAGGGUUCGAUUCCGGAGAGGGAGCCUGAGAAACGGCUACCACAUCCAAGGAAGGCAGCAGGCGCGCAAAUUACCCAAUCCCGACACGGGGAGGUAGUGACAAUAAAUACUGAUACAGGGCUCUUUUGGGUCUUGUAAUUGGAAUGAGUACAAUUUAAAUCCCUUAACGAGGAACAAUUGGAGGGCAAGUCUGGUGCCAGCAGCCGCGGUAAUUCCAGCUCCAAUAGCGUAUAUUAAAGUUGUUGCAGUUAAAAAGCUCGUAGUUGAACCUUGGGCCUGGCUGGCCGGUCCGCCUCACCGCGUGCACUGGUCCGGCCGGGCCUUUCCUUCUGGAGAGCCGCAUGCCCUUCACUGGGUGUGCCGGGGAACCAGGACUUUUACUUUGAAAAAAUUAGAGUGUUCAAAGCAGGCCUUUGCUCGAAUACAUUAGCAUGGAAUAAUAGAAUAGGACGUGCGGUUCUAUUUUGUUGGUUUCUAGGACCGCCGUAAUGAUUAAUAGGGAUAGUCGGGGGCAUCAGUAUUCAAUUGUCAGAGGUGAAAUUCUUGGAUUUAUUGAAGACUAACUACUGCGAAAGCAUUUGCCAAGGAUGUUUUCAUUAAUCAGUGAACGAAAGUUAGGGGAUCGAAGACGAUCAGAUACCGUCGUAGUCUUAACCGUAAACUAUGCCGACUAGGGAUCGGGCGAUGUUAUUAUUUUGACUCGCUCGGCACCUUACGAGAAAUCAAAGUUUUUGGGUUCUGGGGGGAGUAUGGUCGCAAGGCUGAA
rnacentral:rRNA from 1 species